GGCCAUCUAUAUAUAUUAUUAAUAACAUAUGAUCCCAUAUACAAACUGAAUGAGACAUUCACAAAGCUGCGAAGAAUUCUUUUUGCUAUAAUUUCUUGCCUCGAAGAGGAGCUUGAUUCAUUAAGAGUCAUCAUGCUUUAAGUAUUUCCUCCUCAAUUAUUUAAAUGAAAUGGUGGCCUGAUUGAUUCAAUCACAUCCCUCAUAUCGGCUUCAAGAAGCCGACUCUUCAAUGCGGCUAUAAUUAUAGAUAUCAAUGAAAGUUGAGGGAGAUGACCAAAUUCAUAAGUAAGAGGAAGGGCAAGCCCUAAAGGUGUGCAAGAUAUGUAACGGCAUAGGGUCCAACAAUCAUGUGUAUUUUUUUUAUUUUUUUUAAAGAAUGUUCUACAAGGAAUUUAUUUUUACAAAAAUUAAUGGCACAAAAUUUGGGAAUAAAAAGGAUUCAAAAUAUACAUAAAUAUUAGAUGAAUAUAUAUAUAUAUAUAUAUAUA